rnacentral:rRNA from 1 species
UACGCAGGGUGCAGGCGUUAAUCGGAAUUAUUGGGCGUACAGGGCGCGUAGGCGGACAUGCAAGUCGGAUGUGAAAUCCCGGAGCUCAACUUCGGAACAGCAUCCGAAACUGCAUAUCUAGAGGAUAGGCGGAGGAAACGGAAUUCCACAAGUAGCGGUGAAAUGCGUAGAUAUGUGGAAGAACACCCGUGGCGAAGGCGGUUUCCUAGCUUAGACCUGACGCUGAGGCGCGAAAGCAAGGGGAUCAAACAGG